rnacentral:rRNA from 1 species
CCGCAAGGCUAAGUACUCCCUGGCGACCGAUAGCGAACCAAGUAGCGCGAGCGAAAGAUGGGAAGAACCCCUAUGAGGGGAGGAUAGUGAACCUGAAACCACAUGCCUACAAGCGGUCGGAGGGCUAUGCCUCUGGGCAACCAGGGGAAUGCCUGACGGCGUGCCUUUUGCAUAAUGAUCCGGCGACUUACCGUCACCAGCAAGGUUAAGCCGUUCUGCGGCGGAGCCGAAGCGAAAGCGAGUCUGAAUAGGGCGCAUAGUUGGGGGCGGUAGACGCGAAACCACGUGAUCUACGCAUGGGCAGGAUGAAGGGCGGGUAACACCGCCUGGAGGUCCGAACACACCAGUGUUGAAAAACUGGGUGAUGACCUGUGUGGAGGAUUGAAAGUAUCAUCAAACGUGGAGAUAGCUCGUUCUCUCCGAAAUAACUUUAGGGUUAACGUCUUCGUAGUUGGCCAAGGGGGUAGAGCGACUGAAUCCGAAAGGGGGCCUACCCGGCUACCCUUCGGAACCAAACUCCGAAUACCUUGGUACCAAGCGGGGGCAGCUAGACGGCGAGGGAUAAGCUUCGUCGUCGAGAGGGGAACAACCCAGAUCGCCCGCUAAGGUCCCUMARSCRUGCUCAGUGCGAAAGGAAGUUGGAYUCCYGWGACAGCCAGGAUGUUGGCUUAGAAGCAGCCAYCAUUUAAAAAGUGCGUAAUAGCUUACUGGUCGAGGAGUCCUGCGCCGAUAAUGAACGGGACUUAAGCAUGGCACCGAAGCGGCGGGCAGCAGCAAUGCUGCGGUAGGAGAGCGUUGCACCAACCAGUGAAGGCGGACCGACAAGGACUGCUGGAGGAAGUGCAAGUGAUCAUGCCGGAACGAGUAACGAUAAAACGGGUGAGAAUCCCGUUCGCCGAAAGCCUAAGGUUUCCUGGGGAAGGUAAAUCCGCCCAGGGUUAGUCGGACCCUAAGACGAGGCCGAAAGGCGUAGUCGAUGGACGGCAGGUUAAUAUUCCUGCACCACCGGUGGCGGUCGAAGGCUGGUGACGCUGGCAUGAGGGAGAGCGGCCUGUUAGACAUGGCCGUCCCGCAAGGGCGAGGGCAUUUACGAUCCCGAAGUCUUCCCAGUGACAGACAAGAAAAACCCAUGCCGGACAAAGCCGGUGCCCGUACUAAAACUGACACAGGUAGGCGUGAUGAAGAUUCUCAGGCGCUCGAGAGAACGCUCGUGAAGGAACUCGGCAAAUUAACCCCGUAACUUCGGGAUAAGGGGUGCCCCUUGGGGUGUAACAGCCUCGGGGGGCCGCAGUGAAAGGGAUCUGGCGACUGUUUACUAAAAACACAGGUCUAUGCCAACUCGUAAGAGGAAGUAUAUAGACUGACGCCUGCCCGGUGCCGGUAAGUUAAGGAAGAGGGUUAGCGGGGGUAACUCCGUGAAGCUCGCAACCGAAGCUCCGGUAAACGGCGGCCGUAACUAUGACGGUCCUAAGGUAGCGAAGUUCCUUGUCGGGUAAGUUCCGACCUGCAUGAAUGGCGUAACGACCGGAUCACUGUCUCCACGAGCGACUCGGUGAAACUGUAGUUGUUGUGAAGAUGCAACAUACCCGCAACUAGACGGAAAGACCCCGUGAACCUUUACUGCAGGAUAGUAUUGGGCUUAGGCCCAGCAUGCGUAGAGUAGGUGGGAGGCCGUGCAGUGGGAUCUCCGGAUCCUGCGAAGCCGACGAUGAAACACCACCCUUGUUGUGCUUGAGUUCUAACCCCGUCCCGUGAAUCCGGGCGGCGAACAGUGCUAUCUGGGCAGUUUGACUGGGGCGGUCU